rnacentral:rRNA from 1 species
AAGCAGGGUCGGGGCCUGGUUAGUACUGGGAUGGGAGACCGCCUGGGAAUACCAGGUGCUGUAAGCU